rnacentral:rRNA from 1 species
CCUACGGGUGGCAGCAGUGGGGAAUAUUGGACAAUGGGCGAAAGCCUGAUCCAGCCAUGCCGCGUGUGUGAAGAAGGCCUUCGGGUUGUAAAGCACUUUCAGUGGGGAAGAAAGCCUUGGGGCUAAUACCCUCGAGGAAGGACAUCACCCACAGAAGAAGCACCGGCUAACUCCGUGCCAGCAGCCGCGGUAAUACGGAGGGUGCGAGCGUUAAUCGGAAUUACUGGGCGUAAAGCGCGCGUAGGCGGUCUGAUAAGCCGGUUGUGAAAGCCCCGGGCUCAACCUGGGAACGGCAUCCGGAACUGUCAGGCUAGAGUGCAGGAGAGGAAGGUAGAAUUCCCGGUGUAGCGGUGAAAUGCGUAGAGAGCGGGAGGAAUACCAGUGGCGAAGGCGGCCUUCUGGACUGACACUGACGCUGAGGUGCGAAAGCAUGGGUAGCAAACAGGAUUAGAUACCCCAGUAGUC